AAAUGUAACAAAGAUGGAGAUAUGAGGAUAACGUCCAAUCAUUUCGAAAGCAGUAUGCGCUGUCUUUUAUGUAUGAUCAAUUAGUUUAUGUAAACAAGAUGUAUCAAUCGCAGAAAAGUGUUCUGACUUUCUGACCUUUUUCGUGAAAAGUCUACGUCGUCAGCUAAGGCAAGCCCAAACAGAGGAUGAUGACAGGUAGACCCGCGGAGAUGUCUCAUUUGAAAUUGGGCCAAGCAGAAAGAUGGUUUCUACAUCUGGCGUAGCAACGUUACAAAAAACUAAACCACCAUUUAUAUCCUGAUAUCGUUUCCUCUGAAAGACGACGUGAUAAAAACGUGAAUUUGUAAUAGAGUGUGAUCAUUCAUGGGCUUAUAUAUACCCGUAUCCAUCUAGAUACAAAUAAUAAUUUUUCAUUAAAAAGAAGAGCCAA
rnacentral:lncRNA from 1 species